GGUUCACCCAAGGUUUUGUUGCCUUCCUCUGCAGACAAGCAUUUCAUUGUUAUUAUAUCUUGUUUCUUGUGAUAAGUUUGUCAUGGUUUCAAAGAUAUUAGUGUGACUAUUUUAUUCCCACUUUUCCUUUCUACUCCCUAUAUAACUAUACAUCACCAAGUUCAUCCUUCGUUUUUGAAGAGGUAACAUGGAGAUAUCAAGAAACUUACAAGUGUAACUUUAUAUUACAUAAGGGUAAGAAUAUUCCAAACAAGUGACAUCCAACUUAAAUAAAUCAAUAAAUAUUCAAAUGAACAUUAUAAUCCAUAGAAUCUGGAAGAAAUGACAAACUACCAUAAGUACUGUUACUCUGCUUCUUUUUCUCACUCAUACGGUUGCUCUGCAUCAUCAUGAUAUGGGAAGGUGUCACAAUCACACAUGCCCACGGGAAUCUAAUCAAUUACACUACCUAUUUUCCUACCAAAUGUUACCAUUUCUGUUAC
rnacentral:lncRNA from 1 species